UAAGCACUCACCACAAAAGUGUUUUGUCACACGUGAGACAUCUUUGAAACCAAGCAACCACACAAUACUAGUGACCGGCUUGUGUAUGUGUGUGUUGGGGUGGGGGGAUGCAUCUACGGACCAUUAUAAAGGCGCCAUUGUGUUACACUUUCAAGGUACAUAUCAUAGCCGCACUUGUCAUGAGAUGAGAAAUACCACACUACUACAUAGUUGAAAGAGGCACUCAUAUAAUAUAGAUAUUAAAUAAGGCAUUAGAAGAAAACGGAAGGAAUGAGUUUCGAUCCUCCUGACCCUGAAAUUUACGAUAGAUUUCUCCCACAGCUUCACUAGCCCCGACCCCAACAGACUACGCGCAUCGCCGGUUAGCGGCAGCACUGGUAUCACGAGCUGGAGUCGGCCUAUCCGGAGAUGGCCUCCUUCUGUCACGCCAUCCAGAAGAAGGCGAACGCCCAAAAGAUGCUAUGCAUGGAUGCCGCUGGAGACCGGGAAUGGACGUCCAUCGGCGAGCAGCUCCGGGCGCUGGACACAGAUGUGGAGGGUGGAGCAGAUGCUGGCAUGGUACGAGGAUUUGUGUGCGGCGGCUGCAUGCGAAGCUGCCACGCAUCCUUGCAGUGCACCUCAGGUCCCACACUUGCAAGCAGUACAUAGUAGUCUCUGAUUUCCAUGUGUACAGGGGUCACCUAUUUGAGAGACAGGUGCCUGAAGCUUUAUCUUGUUUCAGUUAAAAUUUUCCAUGUCCAUUGGAUUUCCAUCCAAAGACUGAAGUAGAAGCAAGCAUCGCUCAUUGUUGGGUUCAUCACAUAAAGUUUCUUUGCUUCAAUCGAUUUUAUGCAUGGAUGCAACACUACUAGUACUAGACAUUUUUCUGUUGUGUGAAGUAGUACUAUACAUAUCAUCUAAUCCACUAGUUAACACUUGUCCUUUAUGCAUGCACAUGUAAUCACUGUAUAACCAUCACCAGCUAUAGGACUUCAAAAAGAUCAUCACCAUGCAUCAUGUAUAUACAUUUUCAGUGAUAAGUAUAUUUGCUUGCACGCACAUACACCAU
rnacentral:lncRNA from 1 species